UACGGAGGGUGCAAGCGUUAUCCGGAUUCACUGGGUUUAAAGGGUGCGUAGGAGGACUGGUAAGUCAGUGGUGAAAUCCCCGAGCUUAACUUGGGAACUGCCAUGGAUACUAUUUGUCUUGAAUAUUGUGGAGGUGAGCGGAAUAUGUCAUGUAGCGGUGAAAUGCUUAGAUAUGACAUAGAACACCAAUUGCGAAGGCAGCUCACUACACAGUUAUUGACGCUGAGGCACGAAAGCGUGGGGAUCAAACAGG
rnacentral:rRNA from 1 species